rnacentral:lncRNA from 1 species
GUUCACUCCAUGUGUGAGUUUGACAGAUGGGUCAGUGAGAAAAUCCGCUUAGCAACUUUCUGCUGAUGGAGGUUCACUGAAUAAAGCUCACACACUUUCUCAUUACUAGCUUCGAGUCACCGCACUGAGGCCUCGCUUGCUUUUAUUCAACUUUAUCGGAUACACUUUCAAGAUAAAGGACAUGUCUGCCGAAAAGAAGCCCAAAAAGAAGAAGCCCGAGUCGACUCCAGCAGAGACCAACGGGACCGAAGCCAAACCCAAAAAGACCAAGAGCAAGAAGAGCGGCGAUAGCUACCCGGCCACUCAGAAUGGAGAGAAGGUGAAGAAGAAGAAACUGGAGAAGGACAAAGAAUCAACAGAGAAGGAGAAGGAAAUCAAAAAGAAAGCGAAAAGUGCUCCAAAGAAGAAGAAGAGUAAGUGACCCAGUUUUUUUUGUGUCAUUUAUAUGAUUUAUAUUAUUAUAUUAAAU